UAUGCGUGACGAUUUACGAUCAACGCUUGGAAGAGUUACGACUGCUACUAGUUUUUUCAACGAAUGUCGCAGCGUGAAGUCUAGCAAAGGAUGAAUAUUACAGUUCUGAAACUAUCAUAAGAAAGAUGGUUGUGCCAAUGUUGUGUUUCUUCGGUAUUGAAGACCUGUGUUGUACACUUCAUCAAGACCAGAACAGUAUGCUAAUUACCUUUUGCUUUCAAGUUGCAAGAUGAGCCCAAGCCAGACGAUCGUGUGUCAGGAUGCUGUUGUUACUCAGCUUAGCAGAGUUCGAAACGCAGAUUUAAAAGAGUCGGUAAAGCAUCGCUGAAGAUCCACGCGUUAAAACGAAAGGGUGUGGCGUGCGUAGAAGUUGGAACAAAGGGGAUCACAUUGUCGAGGAGGCAAGUGGAUCCGUGAAGGGAUUACCAGGCAAAUAUUUAUGUAGCCAGCCCCUUGGGGGACGGUGGAUCAUCAAAUUCCAAUGACAAAACGGACACAGCCACGGGUGGCGACGAUACCCCUGCGAGGGGUUACAUCCGCAUAUGCUGCUCCAUUCGCAGCCGAUGCUUUACGCUUUAUCCAGGCAUCCCGAAUCGUUGUAACCCAUAGGUGAAAGCGAAACGCGAUUAAACUCGCUCGAGAUCGUCGUCCAUCGCCAGGAUUAACCGUUUUACCAACUUUUUAACACGUUAACGUUGCUCGACGUAACGUCAAUUCCAGUUAUCACAGUAACCCUCGAUUUGCAACGAGCACACGGGAAAGUAGAGUACCAACCAUUGAAAAGGGAAUCGAUUCGAGGGUGGUAGCGUUAAUCGAAUAUAGUUUUUUUUUUUCUAGAUCGAGCCAGGAUCAUCUUCUCCCAACGAGGGAAAUCGAAGGGUGCGACGUGUUGAUCCGAUUUUGAUGGAUGAUUUUUUCGUUUCGAUAGUCCGGGGCGUUCAGCCCACAUCAUCAGUUGUCGAAAGCGAGGAUAAAAGAGUCAUCUCGCGGAACCAUCAAUUUUCCCAUCCAGAAACAGCUGUACUUUGAGUGAAUUUUCCAAAGGACCAUUCUUCAAAAAUCCCUGGCACCGAGUUCGCCAGUUAUUCCCAAGGAAUCUACUGCAAAGUAUUCCUCUGAUAAACAGGCCGCUACACCUUAUGAAUGCUUGAUGAUGGCGUUUCACGAGGCGUCUCACCCUCUGCGUUCGAGCUCAAGGGCGAAUCUUCGUCCUCGUUCCUUCUCUGACUUUCUCCUUUCCUCCCUUUGGUAUUCCUCGAAGGCAUCCCACAACGUUUUCCGCCGCUUUCAACCCCGCGUUACCUUCUCCGUCCCCAUCCUCGGGGAUCUGCCAGGACCAAUCGUCGUUCAGCGCUGAAACGAGGUGUGAUAAGCGAGAAAGGUCAGAGCCAUCAUGGCCCCCGGCGGCUGUUCUUUCCACCUGACGCUCCUUUCAAGAUUUCACGCCUCGACGAAUUCUCCUGUGAGUUUCAAGAAACCUGCGAACCUGUCUAGAUACGCGAUUACAAGCCCGAUUAACACCUUUGCUCCUACGCCGAUGUCUGCGACAAUUUCCACGGGGCUUUCGUUUCUGGGCAAUUUGGAAGGUAAACAGCAAAUCUGAGCAAAUUAAUAUUUAGUAUGGAAACUCGCCUACAUUUCAUUCCUUAUUCAACAUUUUUAUUUAGAUAUGUAUUAGAUGCAGAAAUUAAUUCCGUGCCUUUCUAAAUUAAACUUACCGUGUAUUUGCAAAGAGAAACAAUGCAAAC